GGUGGGGUUGGCUUAGUGGAAAGAGCCUGGGCUUCGGAGUCAGGGGUCCUGGGUUUGACUCCCGGCUCUGCUA
rnacentral:tRNA from 1 species